UACGUAGGUGACAAGCGUUGUCCGGAUUUAUUGGGCGUAAAGAGCUCGUAGGCGGUUUGUCGCGUCUGCCGUGAAAGUCCGGGGCUCAACUCCGGAUCUGCGGUGGGUACGGGCAGACUAGAGUGAUGUAGGGGAGACUGGAAUUCCUGGUGUAGCGGUGAAAUGCGCAGAUAUCAGGAGGAACACCGAUGGCGAAGGCAGGUCUCUGGGCAUUAACUGACGCUGAGGAGCGAAAGCAUGGGGAGCGAACAGG
rnacentral:rRNA from 1 species